UUUGACUUUAUUUUUCAGACUGUACCUAGUGGGGCCGUUUGUGGUAUAUCCUAACCGACGACGUCUAAUUGAAGCGUAAAUUUUUAUGAACAUAAUUAGAAACAUUUUUAUGUCAAACAAAAUUCCAGUUAGCAUAGCAGCAAUCUCUUCAUCUUCAUACGGCAUGUUCGUAAAUCACAAACUACAAUUAAAUGGGAGCCAAUAUUACAACAAACAUACAUCAUAUCAUAACAAAUAAAACAACCUACGAUUUGUUGACAUAAAUAGAGACAAAAUUAUAUUUAUUCACGUACUCAUCCUAUAAUAAACACAAAAAUCAGAUUAAGGAAUUAAUUGCUAAUUAACAAAAUAAAGCACACGUUAUUGAUUUAGCAAAAUUACUAUCCCUUUUCCUUUAUGCUAACAACACAAGGUUUGCUUCCAUUAUAUAACAAUAAAAAAUAUAACCACUGUAUCACAUAAAUUAUAUUCAUCCAUUUUCCAUUUGCGAACCAGGAAGAAACAACUAUUGUAAUACACAACCAAAUUGCUGUAUAAAAUUUGCAGUUAAAAAAUCGAAAAUAAACAUUUAAGGCUCCAACACCUAGGAUGCCAACAAAGUAACUCUACCCACACAGGGGAAAACAUUAAUUGGUAAAGAAGAGAUUAACCUGGUAAGAUUUAAGGAGUGGAAACGAGAAUGUCGACGGAAAACACAAACCCAAGCGAGCUUUGU
rnacentral:lncRNA from 1 species